CUCCUGCAUUGGCAGGCAGAUUCUUAACCACUGUGCCACCAGGGAAGUCCCAGCUUAUCUAAUUUUUAAGUCCCUUCUAACAUAGGACUAAUCAAAGGAAGCCAAAUAUGCACCCCUAACCAAUUAUAUAGGAUGCCCUGCUUCUAGUUUGUGUGCCUAUAGCUUCCCCAUGCUAACAGCCUCCAAUCAGGCCAUACAUGAAGUCUUCCUUUCUUUCCACUCUAAAGCUUUCCCACUUCCCUACCAGCCUUUGAGUUUCUGCCAAAAUGCAGCUACUCCCUUGCUCUAGCAAGCUCAGGAUAAAUAGCCUUUACUUUUUUCAUUUGAUCUUUGUUUAUUUCCAUAAGACUAUAAAGAGAAAUGGACCAUGCCUUGCUUACAAUUGUAUCACCAAGGCAACAAAUAAGUGAAUGAAUGAAUGGAAAACUAAAAUCAUUAGUUGGGUAGUCAAUCGUUCCCCAUUCUGGCUUCAAACUUAUUCCUUGCUAUAGCCACUCUUACAUCAUCCAAGCUCACUUUCUCAACCAAAUCACAUACUUUCUUUUCUAUAAUACAACUGAAGUUUCUUCUUCUCCAUGAAACGUUAUUUUGAUUACCUGAGCCCUUACUUACGCUCCCUUCUCUGAAUUCAUAUAGCACACACCACCCCAUUUGGUUUUUAAUUUCUCUCAGUUCAUAAGGGGUCUACUCUUCUGGGAUUGAUGGCUGAAUAUUUUGGUACCAUUCAUGAUGUCUAGCACAAGCUAUGAUACAAAAAAUAAUGAUAAUAACAACAGACUCUUGUAACAAUGCUGAGGAAGAUAGACUGCUACUAUUCUCAUUUUACAUAUGAGGAAACUGAGGCACAGAGAGACCAAUUCUUUUGCCUAAAUUAGUAAAAAGUAGAGCUGAGGUUUGAAUUCAGUUCUGCCCAACUUAUAUUGUGUAUAUGUCAAGCUACAGACUGUAUGAACUACUUUUCAUAUACUGUGCACAUAUUAGGUCCUCAAUAAAUGUUGCUGAAAUUAAUGAAAUAACCAAGUUCAAAAGUUUCAUAAACAAAAUGGAAAAACGAACAGAACUCUUCAGGAUGGUUCCAAAAAGUUCAAUGGAGCAAGGGACAUGGUGACUAGAUGAGAUCAAGUACUGACUCCAAAUUCUGCAUUCUAACUCUAAGCUUCCUGCUGUGAUUCUAAGGCAAGUCCUUUCUUCUCCAGGUUUCUUCACCCAUCUCAUGCUGUGUUGGUACUUCCACCUGCCUUGAGGCUGUUUCCCAAGGCGGAAUCAAACAGUGGCUGUAGGAUAUUUGGUGAUAGCAUUAACAGUUCUCUCCUUGGUGAGCAUAUUAAAAUCAAUUCAACUAUCCUUUCUGAGGAAUAGAGCUGGGUGCUAAGGAGAAUGCCAUCACCAGGCAGGCUCUGUGCAUGCCCUGUAACAGUUCGUGAUAAGGAAACAUGGAAUUCAAUUCAAUGAAGACACAGAAAGGAAACACGGAAUUCAAUUCAAUGAAGACACAGACCUUCCCCCACCUGCUGCAUCAAAGUUGGAAUUAAUCACUAUUUCAUGUGAUAUAGAUUCCUAUAUAAUUUUGAAUGUACAUUGAGUAAAAGGAUUGGAAAGAUCUUUUUGGCUGGCUAAACAUGAGGUGUUCUAAUACUAUUGUACCUGCAAAGUGUCAAGAAUUUAUUUCAGAGAAGAUUUGAAAGCGUUUGCAAAGUCGUGUCGUAUUAAACAGAUAUAAAUGUAGUCUUUGUUUAGGAACGUUUCUUUGAAGGGGUCUGGGUAACAUCAUACCUGUCCUGGAAGCAUGGAAAAUUGUGAUAUGUGGUAACUAUAAUCAAUGGAAUCUGUGAGAUUACCAAAGCAUCUGGUACAAGGAAAUUCUCCAGGGACAACCAACUCUGGACAAUGCCCCUCACUCUCUCAGCCUUAGUGUGUCAGCAGCAAGCCUUGCAUUAUAUGACAUUCUGAAGGAAAUGGAUGGAUGUGUCAUCAUUGAAUCACUGAGAACUAUAGCCCCAGCAUGAUCUCAACUAUGAAAAUACAGAUUAGAAAAUGGAGGUUCAGAUCGGAUAAGCACCUGCUCACACGCAGCUAGUAAAUAGUGGAGCCAGGAUUGGAACCCAAGUAAUUAAUUCAAGAGCAUCAAUCAGAAGGCUAUGCUGCUUCUCACAAAUACAGACGAGGGGAGUGAGGCACAGAGGUAAUGAAAGGUGCCAUUAUGGAAAGCCUAUUACACAGCAGGUCCCAUCCGUGGGUGUCUUCCAUGGUGACAGCAGUGGUGAGCAGUGGAAUCCUGGUACCAUCUUGGGAAGAAAGGAAGUGAACUGGCAAACUCUUGGGAGGGCAGAAGCCUACCUCUCAUGUUUGUGCCCUUCACGAUAAGUGAAGAAAGGAGCGAAGAGAAGAACAGGGUGGCCACAAACAAAAGCUGGAAUUGUUUGAGAAAUGGACCCUUUUCAGAAGCCUUCAAAGCCACCCUUUCACAAAGCCUGGCAGGCAUACAGUAUUGAGCCUGGGUGUCCGCCAAGCAUGGCCUUAAUUUAUUAUUGCCAAACUGUUUGUUGUCUUUAUUUGCCAAGACUUACUAAUUGAACGUUUUUUGGUCUGGCUGCCCUUCCAGAGAACUGGAGCUAUUGUUAUCUGCUCCUCGAGUCCUUCCACAGAAUGUGCCAAAAACUUGACCCGAGUUGUGGCUGAUUUCCCUCCUCUGUUCAGGCUGUGAACCACAUGAGUGUUGAGAUCCACCCAAGUCCUUAUGGUAGUUAAAGCAGAGCAUCUGAAGUCAGACAGACUUGGAUUUCAAUCCUCUUUCUACCUUCACUAGACACGUGUCUUUGGGCUAGUUACUUUACCUCUCCUAGCCUCAAUUUUCUCUAUUGUGUAAUAUGAACAAUGUACCUACCUUGUAGGAUUGUUGUGACAAUUAAAUAACGAAUCAAGGAAGGCACUUUAUAUAGUCCUAGCACAUAUACUCAUUAUUUUGUUGUUGUUGUUAUCUCCAGCACUUAGCCCAGUGCCCUGCAAAUAUAUGCAAAUAGA